rnacentral:rRNA from 1 species
AAACAUUUUUGAGAGAAAUAUAUUUUUGGUAUAACCUGCUCUAUGCUAGUCAAUAGCUGCAGUAUUUUGACUGUACAAAGGUAGCAUAAUCAUUAGUCUUUUAAUUGGAGGCUUGUAUGAAUGGUUGAACGGAAAAUUAUUUUUAUUAUGUUAAUUUUGUUUUUGAGUAAAAAAACUUAAUUGAGUAAAAGGGACGAGAAGACCCUAUAGAAUUUGACGGAGUGACUGUUUGGUUGGGGUGACAAAAAACAACUUUUUUUAUUUUCAUUUUUAAUGAAGGAUGAUCUUGAUUUUGAAAAUAAGAUAAAAUUACCUUAGGGAUAACAGCAUAAUUCUUUUUGUAAGAUCAAAUUUAUAGAAGAGAUUAUGACCUCGAUGUUGAAUUAAAUUUUUUUGGGUGCAGAAAUUCAAUU